ACACAAAAAUCACACUUCCUUCACUAUGACCGUGAAGGUGGUUUUCUCAGGGCAAGGCCCAUCAUACUCAGGAUGUGCUGACCCCUGUGAUAUCUCCAAAUUCCCAGAAUUUUGACUGCAAAAUUUGUGGUAGUGGGAGCCUGAGUUCACACUCUUUCCUG
rnacentral:snRNA from 1 species